GGCGCACGGGUGCGUAACGCGUGGGAAUCUGCCCCUUGGUUCGGAAUAACAGUUAGAAAUGACUGCUAAUACCGGAUAACGACGUAAGUCCAAAGAUUUAUCGCCGAGGGAUGAGCCCGCGUAGGAUUAGCUAGUUGGUGUGGUAAAGGCGCACCAAGGCGACGAUCCUUAGCUGGUCUGAGAGGAUGAUCAGCCACACUGGGACUGAGACACGGCCCAGACUCCUACGGGAGGCAGCAGUGGGGAAUAUUGGACAAUGGGCGAAAGCCUGAUCCAGCAAUGCCGCGUGAGUGAUGAAGGCCUUAGGGUUGCAAAGCUCUUUUACCCGGGAUGAUAAUGACAGUACCGGGAGAAUAAGCCCCGGCUAACUCCGUGCCAGCAGCCGCGGUAAU
rnacentral:rRNA from 1 species